rnacentral:misc_RNA from 1 species
GAUGAAGAACGUAGUGAAAUGCGAUAAGUAAUGUGAAUUGCAGAAUUCAGUGAAUCAUCGAAUCUUUGAACGCACCUUGCGCUCUUUGGUAUUCCGAAGAGCAUGCCUGUUUGAGUGUCAUGAAAAUAUCAACCUUGACUUGGGUUUUGUGCUCUAGUCUCGGCUUGGAAUUGGGUGCUUGCCGCUUUUACGAGCGGCUCACCUUAAAUGUAUUAGCUGGAUCUGUCUUUGAGACUUGGUUUGACUUGGCGUAAUAAGUAUUUCGCUAAGGACAUUCUUCGGAGUAGCCUCGUUUCUAGGACGCUUGUCCGCUUUCCAAUACAAGUUCCACCUCGUGGACAUGACUUUUUAUUAUCUGGCCUCAAAUCAGGUAGGACUACCCGCUGAACUUAAGCAUAUCAAUAAGCGGAGGA